GGGGGCGCAAUGGUUUCGACGGGGAUAGGAUUGGAUUGGUAAGCGAGCUGUGGACCAGGGCCACAAUAAAACUUGGACAGACAGAUAACUGUCAACAACAGACAAUUAAUCGCUGCUUAGUAAAUAAGUAGCCGUUCGACCAGCCUGCCGCCGACGGGGCUGGAAGAGCGUCAAAAAGUUGGCUACCCAUGGAGAGAGGUCUGUGUCUCCAACGGGGAAAUUCACGGAAUAGUGUAGGGUUGAUUCGGUAACCGGAAGCAACCCGAGGCGAUAGCUCAAAUUGGUUACUGCGCUCGGAGAAAGCCUUUUGGAUUCAUUUUCGGACACGAGUUCGAUUCUCGUCGCCUCCACCA
rnacentral:tmRNA from 1 species